GAAGCCGAAAGCAAGUGAGCUGGUGGCAGGGGACGGACGCGACGAUGGUGGUGGUGGCGACCGCGAGCCCCGGCGGGCCCGAGGCGCUGCAGGUGCGCGAGGUCGAGGACCUCCCGGCGCCGGGGGAGGGCGAGGUGCUUGUCGGGGUGGCCGCCGCCGGCGUCAAUCGCGGCGACACGGUCCAGUGGCAGGGCCGGUAGCCGCCGCCUCGCCCUACCCGGGGCUCGAGUGCUCCGGCACCAUCGUCGCUCUCGGGGCCGCGCUGGGCCGUCGGUACCAGGUGUGCGCGCUGCUUACCGGCCGCGGGUAUGUGGAGAAGGUGGAGGUUCCGACAGGGAAGCUGCUCCCGGUGACGGAGGGGGUGUCGCUGACUGACAGCCCGAGGUGGCCUGCACCGUCUGGUCCACCUUUUUCAUGCUAGCCACCUCUCCCUCGGUGAAUCCUUAUCCAUGGUGGAUCAAGUGGAAUCGGUACAUUCGCUACACAGAAUUCAAAGCACCUUGGAAAUGUACACAUGAGACAUUAUUCUUUAUCGAAUUUCCGACAUCAGAGACACGUAUGCUGUUAAUCAGGUGCUGAAGAAAAAAUCAAUCCUCUCCACUUGAAGGUAGGUGAUGCACACAGAUUUCUUCUUACCUUGCAAGCACCGUUGGAUGAAGAGAGUAGGCAUGAUCAUGGACAAACGCAUGCCGUCUUGCCUCGAUCUUGCAGGAGAGGAGGACAUUGUUUAUUUGCGUAGGGCUGUCGGGGGAUAAUUCGAUCGAGUAGGAGUUGUUACGUGGAAGAGGAGCUAGCAGCUGGGCGAUCGUUUGGCUAGGUGACGAGGAAGAAAUUGAUACGGCCGGCCGUUGUACGGGAGCACGGCCAGAGAUGGAGUUCGAUACGGUCUGCACCCAAAUCAGAAGGUUUGGCCACCCUUAACAAUAUCCUCAUCGGAUAUAACUUGGGGAAGGCGAAGGCGUACCCCCUACUAUAUAAGCUCCGCCACCCACGCCCCAAACAAAUCAUAACCAACCUUCCUCAAGUCGUUUGUUCCCCCGAGCAAUCGAGUUGUGUUCCCGGCGAUCGAUCGAUCCAUCUUGCUGAGCAUCAUGGUUUCCGCCGACGUGGCUCGCAACAUCGUCGGCAUCAUUGGCAAUGUCAUCUCCUUUGGGCUCUUCCUCUCCCCUGUGCCGACGUUCUGGCGUAUCUGCAAGGCCAAGGACGUGCAGGAGUUCAAGCCGGACCCCUACCUGGCGACGCUCAUGAACUGCCUGCUCUGGUUCUUCUACGGGCUCCCUAUCGUCCACCCCAACAGCACCCUCGUCCUCACCAUCAACGGCAUCGGCCUCGUCAUCGAGGGCGCCUACAUCAUCAUCUUCAUCAUCUACGCGGCCAAGAACACAAGGUGGAAGAUGCUCGGCGUGCUCGCCAUCCAGGCAGCGUUCAUGGCUGCCGUGGUGGCCGGUGUGCUCGUCGGCGCCCACACCCAUGAGAAGCGCUCCAUGAUCGUAGGCAUCCUCUGCGUCAUCUUCGGCUCCAUCAUGUACGCCUCCCCGCUCACCAUCAUGGGUAAAGUGAUCAGGACCAAGAGUGUGGAGUACAUGCCAUUCUUCCUGUCACUGGUAAACUUCCUCAACGGUCUCUGCUGGACGGGCUAUGCGCUAAUCAAGUUUGACAUCUACAUCACGAUCCCCAAUGCCCUCGGUACAAUCUUCGGCCUCAUCCAGCUGAUCCUUUACGGGUACUACUACAGAUCUACCCCCAAGAAGGGCAAGAAUGUCGAGCUGCCCACCGUCCUCACCAAAAACGCCGUUACCAGCGGCAACGUCUCCGUCACCAUAGAGAAAUAAGCUUUGCUUCCUUUUUAGCCCUAAAGAUUUUGAGUAGUUAAUACCGGAUGAUACUUCAACAGGUCUGAUGUUAAUUAGUUGUACUUUUUGUUAGCUAGUAGAGUCUGAGAUUGCCUUUAAUUUUGUGAACCAUUGUCGUCUGUCCGAGACUACAGUGCAAACUGCAAGUGUAUAUUAAUACCAAUGCAGCUGAGUUAUCCCAGAGAUAUAUUAUG
rnacentral:rRNA from 1 species